AGCGAACGCUGGCGGCAGGCUUAACACAUGCAAGUCGAGCGGGCACUUUCGGGUGUCAGCGGCGGACGGGUGAGUAACGCGUGGGAACGUGCCCUCUGGUUCGGAAUAACUCAGGGAAACUUGAGCUAAUACCGGAUACGCCCUUUUGGGGAAAGGCUUGCUGCCGGAGGAUCGGCCCGCGUCUGAUUAGCUAGUUGGUGAGGUAACGGCUCACCAAGGCGACGAUCAGUAGCUGGUCUGAGAGGAUGAUCAGCCACACUGGGACUGAGACACGGCCCAGACUCCUACGGGAGGCAGCAGUGGGGAAUAUUGGACAAUGGGCGCAAGCCUGAUCCAGCCAUGCCGCGUGAGUGAUGAAGGCCUUAGGGUUGUAAAGCUCUUUUAUCCGGGACGAUAAUGACGGUACAGGAGGAAUAAGCCCCGGCUAACUUCGUG
rnacentral:rRNA from 1 species